rnacentral:rRNA from 1 species
UACGAAGGGGGCUAGCGUUGCUCGGAAUCACUGGGCGUAAAGGGCGCGUAGGCGGAUCUUUAAGUCGGGGGUGAAAGCCUGAGGCUCAACCUCAGAAUUGCCCUUCGAUACUGGAGAUCUUGAGACCGGAAGAGGUAAGUGGAACUGCGAGUGUAGAGGUGAAAUCGUAGAUAUUCGCAAGAACACCAGUGGCGAAGGCGGCUUACUGGUCCGGUUCUGGACGCUGAGGCGCGAAAGCGUGGGGGAGCAAACAGG